rfam:Aedes albopictus isolate Foshan contig24996, whole genome shotgun sequence.
CACCCAGCAACUUCUAUCCCUACUUCCACGUGGCACCGGCCGGACUGCGAGCAACCUUAGGGAAGAUCGGGUAACUAACCUCGUUGGGAACUUUGGUCGUAGGCUGACAGGAAAGA